UCGGGAAUUUUGGGCAAUGGGCGAAAGCCUGACCCAGCAACGCUGCGUGAAGGAUGAAGUAUUUCGGUAUGUAAACUUCGUAAGAAUAGGAAGAAUAAAUGACGGUACUAUUUGUAAGGUCCGGCUAACUACGUGCCAGCAGCCGCGGUAAUACGUAGGGACCAAGCGUUGUUCGGAUUUACUGGGCGUAAAGGGCGCGUAGGCGGUGUGUCAAGUCAGUUGUGAAAUCUCCGAGCUUAACUCGGAACGGCCAAGUGAUACUGUCGCGCUAGAGUGCAGAAGGGGCAAUCGGAAUUCUUGGUGUAGCGGUGAAAUGCGUAGAUAUCAAGAGGAACACCUGAGGUGAAGACGGGUUGCUGGGCUGACACUGACGCUGAGGCGCGAAAGCCAGGGGAGCAAACGGGAUUAGAUACCCCAGUAGUCCCUGAGCGGGCUGGCAAGGCGCAU
rnacentral:rRNA from 1 species